rnacentral:rRNA from 1 species
GUACACGCUGUGACUAGCAUAUCAAUAAGCGGAGGAAAAGAAACUAACAAGGAUUCCCCUAGUAACGGCGAGUGAAGCGGGAAGAGCUCAAAUUUGAAAUCUUAAAGGGUUUCCCUUUACGAAUUGUAGUUUAAAGAAGUGUUUUCUGUUGAGGUUUUGGUAAAAGUUCUUUGGAAUAGGACAUCAUAGAGGGUGAGAAUCCCGUAUUUGACCUUUACUUUCAACUUUGUGAUACACUUUCAAAGAGUCGGAUUGUUUGGGAAUGCAGUCCAAAAUGGGUGGUAAAUUUCAUCUAAAGCUAAAUAUUGGCGAGAGACCGAUAGCGAACAAGUACCGUGAGGGAAAGAUGAAAAGAACUUUGAAAAGAGAGUUAAACAGUACGUGAAAUUGUCAAAAGGGAAGCGUUUGACACCAGUGUUGUUUUUCUGAAAAUCAAUUAAAGAACUGUUUAUGCUAAGCUGUUUAGACUUUAUCAGCUAAUCUGUUUAGUUUUGAGCUUUUCUUUAAUGCACUUUUCAGUUAACAAGUCAACAUCAAUUUCUUUUGCUGUAAAAAAGCUUGAGGAAGGUGGCUUGAGAUUCGUCUUAAGUGUUUAUAGCCUCUUGCCUAUGCAGUCGGAGAGAUUGAGGUCUGCAGCGUAGAUCCUUCGGGGCUAAAUGCAUUUGUGCUAAGUUAUAGCAUUUUAUAGACAACUUGUUGACUAUGAUUUGUCUUGUAGCUUACUCGCUUAUGUUAUUUUACCUACGCUUAGGAUGUUGAGUCGUAGAGCACGCA